AUUGCUUCUUCGCCAUUUGGCUGAGAUCAAGUAUAAUAUCUGUUCUUAUCAAUCAGGGUUCCACCAGUCCCCAAUGAUGAACUGAGAACUGCUUGGUCGAGGCCUAGGGAAAAUUUGCUUGCAUUGAAGCCCAAGCUUUUUUUUGCAUCCGAGGAUUUGCACCCCUGGGGUACCGAAACUCAUAGACCUGCACUUUUUUCUUGUGAUUUUAUGGCACU
rnacentral:snRNA from 1 species